rnacentral:rRNA from 1 species
UACGUAGGGGGCAAGCGUUGUCCGGAUUUAUUGGGCGUAAAGAGCGUGUAGGCGGCCAUGUAGGUCCGUUGUGAAAACUCGAGGCUCAACCUCGAGACGCCGAUGGAAACCAUGUGGCUAGAGUCCGGAAGAGGAGAGUGGAAUUCCUGGUGUAGCGGUGAAAUGCGCAGAUAUCGGGAGGAACACCUGUGGCGAAAGCGGCGCACUGGACCACAACUGACGCUGAGGCGCGAAAGCUAGGGGAGCAAACAGG